UUGAUCAUGGUCUGGUACGUUGGCAAGGCUUCCUCCGUAAUCAUAUCCCCCACCAACACCACGAAAUACUCGUCCGGCAGAUCCGCAGUGCGUUGUCUCAGGGCCUUCACUUGCUCGUUGAACUCUCCCAACGGCAAUGCAGGGUCAGGUAAGAAUGUCUGGGGUUGCCAACACUCUUUCACAGGUUUGAGCAGCGGUAACACAUUUUGGGUAGCCCAGUUUUCUAGUGACUUGAAAAUCUCUUGCUUUUCAGGUGGCAUGGAGUGGGUUUUUUGAGGUUUUGGAGGAGCUGCCGCCACGGCAGAGAUAGGGGAGAAUCUGACGGUGGAGGUUGGUGGAGGGAUGCGGCGGCAGUGGACAUCUGGGAUCCUCCAAGGCAGAGUUUUGGUAGAGACUAGGCUGUGUGUGAAUUGCAUGGUGGCAGUGUAGUUGAGUCAGUGUCUCAAGAAUUUU
rnacentral:lncRNA from 1 species